rnacentral:lncRNA from 1 species
GUAAUCACACAGCCUGCCAGUCUGAUGCUAAACGCUGUGUGGACAGGAAACACAGCACAGGGCAGGAUGCCAGUCAGCUCUAGAAGUUAGGAUUGAAAUUCUGGGUGGAGGAAGCUUGCCGAAAGAAUGUCAGCUGGUGGGGAGAGGGACCUUCGGCAAAUAAGGGCGGCAGGACUGAAUGUCUGGAUCGCUAAGGAAGGAGAAAAAUAAGGAGGUGGAGACAUGGUGGAAAAAAAAAAAAAAAGACUCCAGCAGAGACUCCAGCAUCCUGUGAUGCACUGAACGCUAGCCGGUGUCCACGGAGGUCCGGUGACUCGGUAUGCACAAUGCCACACACUUGGAAACUGGAAACACAUCUACAUGGCCCUGUGCAGCAACUACAGGGACCAAUGGAGGCCACACUUCUCUCUCCUGUCACGGACUUCAGCUCCCAGGAGCAACCCAGGAACCACCAGAAAUGCCAGCCGGCCGGGAUGUCAAGCCCUUUCAACAGGUCCCUGAUCGAUGUUCCUGCCAGAGUAGCUGCUUGUGGCUGUCCCUGUGGCCUAUGUGUAAGGCUCUUUGGGGCUGACACACUGCAAUUCUUUUUUUUU